AGCAGUCGCCGCGGUAAUACGGAGGAUCCGAGCGUUAUCCGGAUUUAUUGGGUUUAAAGGGUGCGUAGGCGGCCUAUUAAGUCAGGGGUGAAAGACGGUAGCUUAACUAUCGCAGUGCCUUUGAUACUGAUGGGCUUGAAUGUACUUGAAGUGGGCGGAAUGUGACAAGUAGCGGUGAAAUGCAUAGAUAUGUCACAGAACACCGAUUGCGAAGGCAGCUCACUAAAGUAUGAUUGACGCUGAGGCACGAAAGCGUGGGGAUCAAACAGGAUUAGAUACCCCGGUAGUCCCUGUCUCUUAUAC
rnacentral:rRNA from 1 species